rnacentral:rRNA from 1 species
AGCAGCCGCGGUAAUUCCAGCUCCAAUAGCGUAUAUUAAAGUUGUUGCAGUUAAAAAGCUCGUAGUUGAAUUUCGGGGUCAGUAGAUUGGUCGUGCCACUGGUAUGUACUGGUCUCACUGGCUCCUCCUUCCUGAUGAACCGUAAUGCCAUUAAUUCGGUGUUGCAGGGAGACUGGACUGUUACUUUGAGAAAAUUAGAGUGUUUAAAGCAGGCUAACGCUUGAAUACAUUAGCAUGGAAUAAUGAAAUAGGACGUUCGAUCUUAUUUUGUUGGUUUCUAAGAUUGACGUAAUGAUUAAUAGGGAUAGUUGGGGGCAUUAGUAUUCAAUUGUCAGAGGUGAAAUUCUUGGAUUUAUUGAAGACUAACUACUGCGAAAGCAUUUGCCAAGGAUGUUUUCAUUAAUCAAGAACGAAAGUUAGGGGAUCGAAGACGAUCAGAUACCGUCGUAGUCUUAACCAUAAACUAUGCCGACUAGGGAUCGGAUGAUGUUAAUUUUUUAAUGACUCAUUC